AGCGAACGCUGGCGGCAGGCCUAACACAUGCAAGUCGAACGAAGUCUUCGGACUUAGUGGCGGACGGGUGAGUAACACGUGGGAACGUACCUUUUGGUUCGGAACAACUCAGGGAAACUUGAGCUAAUACCGGAUGAGCCCUUAGGGGGAAAGAUUUACCGCCGAAAGAGCGGCCCGCGUUAGAUUAGCUAGUUGGUGAGGUAAAGGCUCACCAAGGCUACGAUCUAUAGCUGGUCUGAGAGGGUGAUCAGCCACACUGGGACUGAGACACGGCCCAGACUCCUACGGGAGGCAGCAGUGGGGAAUCUUGCGCAAUGGGCGAAAGCCUGACGCAGCCAUGCCGCGUGAAUGAUGAAGGUCUUAGGAUUGUAAAAUUCUUUUACCAGGGACGAUAAUGACGGUACCUGGAGAAGAAGCCCCGGCUAACUUCGUGCCAGCAGCCGCGGUAACAC
rnacentral:rRNA from 1 species